rnacentral:rRNA from 1 species
AUCUUGCAUGGGCGCAAGCCUGACCGCCUGCCGCGUGAGUGACGAAGGUCUUCGGAUUGUAAAGCUCUUUUGCCAGGGACGAUAAUGACGGUACCUGGAGAAUAAGCCCCGGCUAACUUCGUGCCAGCAGCCGCGGUAAUACGAAGGGGGCUAGCGUUGUUCGGAAUUACUGGGCGUAAAGCGCACGUAGGCGGAUUUGUAAGUCAGGGGUGAAAUCCCGGGGCUCAACCUCGGAACUGCCUUUGAUACUGCGAAUCUCGAGUCCGAUAGAGGUGAGUGGAAUUCCUAGUGUAGAGGUGAAAUUCGUAGAUAUUAGGAAGAACACCAGUGGCGAAGGCGGCUCACUGGAUCGGUACUGACGCUGAGGUGCGAAAG